ensembl:lncRNA
UCUUUGGUUGGCCUGACUGACACUUUAGUAUCUACUCUGUGCGAAAACCAAAAGAAAAAAAAGAAGAAGCUAUUUUUAUGGAUGGACUAUUAUACAAGAGCUGCACAGGGAAUCUGUGAGAAUGCAAUCCAGGUGUCAUUGCCCCUUGGUAAUCUCUCUCGUCUUCAGGAAUUCAUUUUCUCAGCAGCUUCACUUGAAAAUGACAUUCUGACACCAUUUACAUGGAAAUCACUUUGCCUCUUCAUCUGUAAUAGUGGUCUGUACGCAGACAGGACCUCUCUGAGGGCUGGACUAUUAAUGGGCAUAAACAAGGAAGGAAGGGAGGAAGGGAAGAAAGAAAGAAAGAAAGAAAGAAAGAAAGAAAGAAAGAAAGAAAGAAAGAAAGAAAGAAAGAAAGAAAGAAAGAAAGAAAGAAAGAAAGAAAGAAAGAAAGAAAGAAAGAAAGAAAGAAAGAAAGAAAGAAAGAAUGAAAGAAAGAAAGAAAGUAGGGUGCAUACUAAAACCUGGGGUUUUCUGGGUUUAAGUCAAGGUCAAAGCUUUAGGUAUUAAGGGAUAAAGCAGCAGAAGAGACUGAGAGAAAGCAUAAUGUGGGAAAUUCCUUUUUCUCCACUUAAACCUGGAUCCUCUCUUUCCCCUUCUCCCUCUUUCGCAUGCACAGACACACACAUGUGGACAGGAAUACAUACCCACAUUAAAAAGAGACAUAAAGAUUUCCCCCUAAAGCGCAAACAUCCACCACAAAGCUCACAUCUAAGCACUUGUUGAAAAUGCAUAUAGUCUAUGUUUCAGUGCCUUGUUAGAUUGCAGUAAGACAUGUUUGAAUGCAAGAUUUUAUUUUCCUUCCGUGUUUAUAUCAAAUAUUUCUCCGUGAUCAUAUCACAAAUUAAACCAAUAUUUUAAAAUGUCAAUAUUCCAAAAGAAAAAAGGCCUGUGAGGUGGGAUAAGAGUAAAACAUCUGGCACAUCUCUCAGGCUCCAGGAAGCCACAAAGCCAAUCUAUUGUUUGCUUCUCCAUGCUUGCUGCAAAACUGCUGCAUGCAUGCACAGUAGCACCUGUGACCUCAAACUUGAAUGUUUGCUUAGACAUUCACAUUAAACAUGCACUACAGCCAGAGUCAAUGAUGAGAUUACCAAAUCAUAAAUAACUGUGUAUCUGGUUUACUUGUAGCAAGACAGGGAAUGUGGAAGCACCUUUUAUAUGAAGAACAACAAAACCAUGAUAGUCCUACCAUGACACAUAAGAUCAAAUAUUUUCUUUUCUUAUAUUAAAUGAAAGUAUACAUUAUAUGCUUUGAAAUCUUUGAAUAUGAGAGAAAAGGUUAAAAAAAAAAAAAAGAUAGUUUAUUUGGCUGGAUUAACACUGCCUCCACCUGGCAUUACUGUAACACUACUCGAAGUGCUCAUAAAGAGACCACUGCUUUGGAGUAAGAAGUCCUAAACUUUUUACAUUAUUUCAUGUGGUGUGUUUUAAUGAAAUCUGUGGUUUUAUUUUACAACAUGAUCAAUCUCCAUUGCCAGGAAAGACUAAGUGCUACGCAAGAAACGAGCAUUAUGCCAGUAAAUGUCUACUAUGACCAAAAUUAUAAUACUAUCGACAAACACUCGCAGUAAUAAGC